AACCGAAGAGACAAAGUUGUGCAGAUACUUUGCAUAAUCUCCCGCACGACGACAGACGAGGGCGCCAGUUCAUCCAUUGGUCUCCUGCUUCAACACCAAUCAGCGAAGAGCACAGCGUUUACUGUCGUGGUUAUUUCUGAGAUCAAUCAAACAUCAUGAGGAGCA